rnacentral:lncRNA from 1 species
AUGGGGUGGGAUAGCGAGGGCCGGAGAGGCAUGCCGGAGGCUCACAAGUUAGAGGGACAGAGGACAGGGACACAGCCAUGCGCUCCUUGCAGCUGGGCUAUGUCUCUGCUGGGCCCUCUCCUGCAGCAUCCUCCAUGCCUGUCGCCUGGCUGUCUCUGUGAACCCCAUCCCAGGACAGUGGCUGUCGUGCUCCCUGCUGGUUGUGACCCCUUGUCCCUAUCCCUUCCUGACACAGGGCUUGGUGGCCUAGAUAGCUGUGGAGGCUGUCCCAGGAACCCCAUCCGGUUCCCAGGGACCCCCUCACUCAGGCAGGCCAAUGGGGCAAUGGCCUCAGUGGCCUUCGAGGGCUCCACAGACCCAGUGUCUCCAGCGGCAUAUCUGGCCAGUCUGUCUUCAGGGCUCGGCAGGGCUGUUGUCACUUCCCAGGGACUCCUGGCACAUGGGGAGGUCAGCAUGGAGGGCUGGCCUUGCUCAGGCAGACAGUCGGAAACUGGCCAGGGGUGGUCCCUGCCCAGUGCUCAGGGCGGGGCUUGGCUUUGCACAGACCACAUGUUCACUCCCCACCCUUCCCUGGCACCAGGUCAGAUGGGGCACAGCCUGGUCUCACAGCGAGCCAGACAUACAUCCCUGGGCAAGUUACUCAUCUGUGAGCUGGGGGUGGGUCCCUGGGGACCUAUCUUGCAGGUGGGUGUGCAUGUUGGGGGCAGGGAUGAGGGUUCUGGGACCAGGAAUGGGGGGGAGGUGUCAAGGGAGAGGCAAAGCGGCUUCCCGAGAGGUGCCACUGUGCAGUGCUCACCAGCCCCUGCCUCAGGCCUCAGUGUAGGUGUGGGUGGCUCUAGGACCAAUAGCAGGUGCCCUGAACCUCCACACCCUCCUGCUCUGCCAGUCAAGCCCACCUCUUUGGGUCCAGGCCCAGGACAGGGAUACUUCUUGGAUGAGAGGGAUCGGGGGCAGAUGCUGCCCCAAGCAAGGUGGGGAGACUGGCCCCUUGAUGGCCUGAGGCCAAGCAAGGACUUCAGGACCCUGGUGAGGCAGGGUGGGGGUGGGGAGGCUCCCAGAGAAGCCAUGGGACCCAAGCCCUCUGAAUCCCUUUGCUGA